rnacentral:rRNA from 1 species
GAGUUUGAUCCUGGCUCAGGAUGAACGCUAGCGGGAGGCUUAACACAUGCAAGUCGAGGGGCAGCACGAUGUAGCAAUACGUUGGUGGCGACCGGCGCACGGGUGAGUAACACGUAUGCAACCUACCCUGUACAGGGGGAUAACCCGGAGAAAUUCGGACUAAUAUCCCAUAAAGAUAUUUGAGGGCAUCCUUGAAUAUUUAAAGCUCAGGCGGUACGGGAUGGGCAUGCGGAACAUUAGCUAGUUGGCAGGGUAACGGCCUACCAAGGCAACGAUGUUUAGGGGACCUGAGAGGGUGAUCCCCCACACUGGUACUGAGACACGGACCAGACUCCUACGGGAGGCAGCAGUGAGGAAUAUUGGUCAAUGGGCGCAAGCCUGAACCAGCCAUCCCGCGUGCAGGAAGACGGCCCUAUGGGUUGUAAACCGCUUUUCCAGGGGGAGAAUUUUUCUGUCGUGACAGGAAUUGACGGUACCCUGGGAAUAAGCAUCGGCUAACUCCGUGCCAGCAGCCGCGGUAAUACGGAGGAUGCGAGCGUUAUCCGGAUUUAUUGGGUUUAAAGGGUGCGUAGGCGGAUUGAUAAGUCAGUGGUGAAAACCUGCAGCUUAACUGUAGACUUGCCGUUGAUACUGUCAGUCUUGAGUGUGGUCAAGGUAGGCGGAAUGUGUAAUGUAGCGGUGAAAUGCUUAGAUAUUACACAGAACACCGAUUGCGAAGGCAGCUUACUGGGCCAUUACUGACGCUGAUGCACGAAAGCGUGGGGAUCGAACAGGAUUAGAUACCCUGGUAGUCCACGCCGUAAACGAUGAUCACUCGCUGUUAGCGAUACACAGUUAGCGGCUAAGCAAAAGCAUUAAGUGAUCCACCUAGGGAGUACGGCC